AACCUCGUAGUAUAACGUAUAGUACGUUGAUUAUUAUGCCGAAAGUAUAGGUUCGAUUCUUAUCGAGGUUC